UCCCUAGGGGCUCAGAUGGUAAAGAAUCUGCCUGCAAUGCAGGAGACCCAGGUUUGAUCCCUGGGUUGGGGAA
rnacentral:tRNA from 1 species